CGCGGCCUAUCAGCUUGUUGGUGGGGUAGUGGCCUACCAAGGCGACGACGGGUAGCCGGCCUGAGAGGGCGACCGGCCACACUGGGACUGAGACACGGCCCAGACUCCUACGGGAGGCAGCAGUGGGGAAUAUUGCGCAAUGGGCGAAAGCCUGGCGCAGCGACGCCGCGUGAGGGAUGACGGCCUUCGGGUUGUAAACCUCUUUCAGCAGGGACGAAGCGCGAGUGACGGUACCUGCAGAAGAAGCACCGGCUAACUACGUGCCAGCAGCCGCGGUAAUACGUAGGGUGCGAGCGUUGUCCGGAAUUAUUGGGCGUAAAGAGCUCGUAGGCGGUUUGUCGCGUCGACUGUGAAAACCUACAGCUUAACUGUGGGCUUGCAGUCGAUACGGGCAGACUUGAGUUCGGUAGGGGAGACUGGAAUUCCUGGUGUAGCGGUGAAAUGCGCAGAUAUCAGGAGGAACACCGGUGGCGAAGGCGGGUCUCUGGGCCGAUACUGACGCUGAGGAGCGAAAGCGUGGGGAGCGAACAGGAUUAGAUACCCUGGUAGUCCACGCCGUAAACGGUGGGAACUAGGUGUGGGGGGCUUCCACGUCCUCCGUGCCGUAGCUAACGCAUUAAGUUCCCCGCCUGGGGAGUACG
rnacentral:rRNA from 1 species